rnacentral:rRNA from 1 species
GCUUAGGCGUGUGACUGCGUACCUUUUGUAUAAUGGGUCAGCGACUUAUAUUCUGUAGCAAGGUUAACCGAAUAGGGGAGCCGAAGGGAAACCGAGUCUUAACUGGGCGUUAAGUUGCAGGGUAUAGACCCGAAACCCGGUGAUCUAGCCAUGGGCAGGUUGAAGGUUGGGUAACACUAACUGGAGGACCGAACCGACUAAUGUUGAAAAAUUAGCGGAUGACUUGUGGCUGGGGGUGAAAGGCCAAUCAAACCGGGAGAUAGCUGGUUCUCCCCGAAAGCUAUUUAGGUAGCGCCUCGUGAACUCAUCUCCGGGGGUAGAGCACUGUUUCGGCAAGGGGGUCAUCCCGACUUACCAACCCGAUGCAAACUGCGAAUACCGGAGAAUGUUAUCACGGGAGACACACGGCGGGUGCUAACGUCCGUCGUGAAGAGGGAAACAACCCAGACCGCCAGCUAAGGUCCCAAAGUCAUGGUUAAGUGGGAAACGAUGUGGGAAGGCCCAGACAGCCAGGAUGUUGGCUUAGAAGCAGCCAUCAUUUAAAGAAAGCGUAAUAGCUCACUGGUCGAGUCGGCCUGCGCGGAAGAUGUAACGGGGCUAAACCAUGCACCGAAGCUGCGGCAGCGACGCUUAUGCGUUGUUGGGUAGGGGAGCGUUCUGUAAGCCUGUGAAGGUGUGCUGUGAGGCAUGCUGGAGGUAUCAGAAGUGCGAAUGCUGACAUAAGUAACGAUAAAGCGGGUGAAAAGCCCGCUCGCCGGAAGACCAAGGGUUCCUGUCCAACGUUAAUCGGGGCAGGGUGAGUCGACCCCUAAGGCGAGGCCGAAAGGCGUAGUCGAUGGGAAACAGGUUAAUAUUCCUGUACUUGGUGUUACUGCGAAGGGGGGACGGAGAAGGCUAUGUUGGCCGGGCGACGGUUGUCCCGGUUUAAGCGUGUAGGCUGGUUUUCCAGGCAAAUCCGGAAAAUCAAGGCUGAGGCGUGAUGACGAGGCACUACGGUGCUGAAGCAACAAAUGCCCUGCUUCCAGGAAAAGCCUCUAAGCAUCAGGUAACAUCAAAUCGUACCCCAAACCGACACAGGUGGUCAGGUAGAGAAUACCAAGGCGCUUGAGAGAACUCGGGUGAAGGAACUAGGCAAAAUGGUGCCGUAACUUCGGGAGAAGGCACGCUGAUAUGUAGGUGAAGUCCCU